rnacentral:lncRNA from 1 species
UGCCAGGAUAACUUUAUUAUUAACUGAUGAUGAAAACUAGAACAUUCUGAGCUCACAUGACAAAACAAAUUUAAUCCUGAGAUGCUCUCUCUUCAGUGAGCAGUCUUGGCAGUCAGUUGUGGCUCUUGCCGUGUCUGUCAUCACGACUCCAAAGCCAAUACUCUGCUCUUGGACCAGACCCUCAAACUUUAGAAGCAGCUUCAAUCUGAGGCAAGGUCACACGCCAAGGUUCAAUUCUCUGAAAAUUUCCACCUUGCCCUGAAAAAUCACAAGCGAGGUUUGAAGUUAGCCACAUGCUGGAAUCCUUGGCUGAUGGGAUGGCAUUGGAAAUCAUCACACUUGUCCCAAGAAGGGCAGCCUCGCGGUGCGUAUUCUAAAGGAGCUGAGGUUUGAUCACCAAAAUCAUCAUAAUGAAUACUGAGCACUAGAAUUCAGACUUCCAGGUGUUCUAAAGAGAUGAAGUGACAAUGUUCAAUUUUUACUCUGAACACCACAUCACAAACGAACCACAUUAAAAACAAUAGCAUUAGGGAAAAAGAAAAAUUACAAAGAACAUCUAAAGUGUUUAAUGAUUUCCUAUUUUUCCAGAUAGAUUUCUGUCAGAUCUUCCUAAGCUGUCGAGUGACACUCCACCUCCCGUUUGUUCCUGAUGGACUUCAAUCACGUCUUCCUCCUCCAUCCCCAGCUCUUCUGCAGUAUGGUCAUCGGCAAUCUUCUGGCCUUCAAAGAGAAACCUCAGUGAAUUCACUGACAGAUCCAGUCUUCGACUACACCACUUGAAGGUUUAGCCUCCUGGUCAAACAUGGCGACAAUGGCCUCCCCAAAGGGUCUCCAUAACAGCCACCUGCAGCGGGGCAGGUAGAAUUUUGUUUACUAAUCCG